rnacentral:lncRNA from 1 species
GGAAGAUUUGAUCAUUAUUCCUGAAGGUGUGAUUUCACAAUUUCAGGUAUUGAAUAUCAUUGAAAACCAACCUUCUAAAGAUCAUUUUAAAAAGAAAUAUGGAAAAAGAAGAUGGAAAUUACAUCCCUACUCAGCUCCAUGAACUAGGCUUCUUGGAAUCCAAUGCUGGAAGAGAGCCUAAAGAUAAUCAAGCCCAACCCUCUCACUUCGUGUCUAAUUGCAGAUUCUCUGUGUGAAUCCAGAGAGUACCUGCCUCCAUCAAGUGUGCAUUACAGCCAUUGACAGGCACAGGGUAAGAGGGGCAUCCUGGGUGAGUAGCUAGAAUAAUGUCAGUGACUGAGGCUGAGAAAUAUUCUGUGUAAAUAUGUUCGGGUCAAAACAAAGGAGGAAACCCAGCCACAGUCUUAAGUUUUGGAAAGAAGUUGUGCCAAGUUGGGUCCCCAACACAUGUGCUCCCUGGCAAAAGAGCGAAAAAAUAAUAUAUUAGUCACUUUUUCUUAUUUCUAUUAACACAAAUUGGCAUUUUCAAAUGGGGACAGGAGAUAACAGGAGGGGGCAGAUGAGAAGGAAUCUGUGGCUCAGGCAG